rnacentral:rRNA from 1 species
CAGCAGUAGCCGCGGGAAUACCGAGGGUGCGAGCGUUAAUCGGAUUUACUGGGCGUAAAGCGUGCGUAGGCGGCUUUUUAAGUCGGAUGUGAAAUCCCUGAGCUUAACUUAGGAAUUGCAUUCGAUACUAGGAAGCUAGAGUAUGGGAGAGGAUGGUAGAAUUCCAGGUGUAGCGGUGAAAUGCGUAGAGAUCUGGAGGAAUACCGAUGGCGAAGGCAGCCAUCUGGCCUAAUACUGACGCUGAGGUACGAAAGCAUGGGGAGCAAACAGGAUUAGAUACCCCGGUAGUCCCUGUCUCUUAUAC